UCUUGCAUAUGUCCCCUGAGGACUGGGCUGACUGUGCAGCACUGCACCCGGACAAGACAAAACCCCCAUCAACAUUCACCCUGUUUGUUUGUUUUUUUUGGUGUUGUUUUUGUUUGUUUUUUUCCUUCCCACCCUCUAUUUUCAUGCAUAAGUUUUCAUGAUAAACAGGAAAUUCAUGAAUAUAUGGAGUGAUACAGUGAGAAAUGGAGGAGGGGUAGAGAGAGGGGUGAGGUGAAGGAUGAGAAAGAGGAGUGAACAGUCAAAGCCAAAGAGUGAGCCGAGACUGGGAGGGAAUUAUGUAGACAGCAGGAUGCACACACACACACACACACACACACACACACACGCACACAAGCAGAUGCAGUCACAUACAUUUACACACACACGACUUAGCAUUGCAGGUGAACUGGGGUCCCUCCGCUGUUUGACAGGAGGCAGCGUCUCCCCGGAGCAGCAGGUACACGUGGCGAUGGUGAUGAUGAUGAUGGUUGUGGUUGUUAGCGUGCUGGAGUCUGUCCUUCUCCUGCUCCCCGGGUCCCUCCUGCUGCAGCCGUUCCUCAUCAGUCGAGAGGAGAGCCCGACCCUUCUAAUGACUCCCAUCGACACUGACGCCCGCCAUAAGCAGCCGGGGCAGGAAGAAACAAGCGUGAAACUCGGCUGGCCGACUCUCUGAGGAGGAGGAAGCUGAGAGAACUCAUUUGCAUAUAAACUGUGAGAGGCAGGGAUUGUCAUCGGCGGCACAUUAGACGCAAGGAGCGCGAAGGGAGAGGAUUUUCAUGUGCAAAUUUCAGCCUCGCCAACUCUGUGCAUUAUUAUUUCAUCAGCGCCUAAGAAGGAAACCCCUCCGAUCCCCAAAUCCCGCCAUCAUCCCCACGGACACUUCAAGAUUCAGACCAAAUUCCCCCGCCGUGCCUCUUCCCCAGAAGGCCCCACUACUGAGCAGCUGUUUACACCGGGGCCCACAAUGCAGGAGGAGUCAAUCCGCCUCUGCGACGGCGUGAGAUCAGAUAAGAGGGAACCGCAGGAAAAGGGAACAGAUAUACACCAGUUGUGA